UACGUAGGGGGCAAGCGUUGUCCGGAUUUAUUGGGCGUAAAGCGCGCGCAGGCGGUUCUUUAAGUCUGAUGUGAAAUCUCGCGGCUCAACCGCGAGCGGUCAUUGGAAACUGGGGGACUUGAGUGCAGAAGAGGAGAGCGGAAUUCCUGGUGUAGCGGUGAAAUGCGCAGAUAUCAGGAAGAACACCCGUGGCUAAGGCGGCUCUCUAGUACGUGACUGACGCUGAGACGCGAAAGCGUGGGGAGCGAACAGG
rnacentral:rRNA from 1 species